CAGCAGUAGGGAAUCUUCGGCAAUGGACGAAAGUCUGACCGAGCAACGCCGCGUGAGUGAAGAAGGUUUUCGGAUCGUAAAACUCUGUUGUUAGAGAAGAACAAGGGUGAGAGUAACUGUUCACCCCUUGACGGUAUCUAACCAGAAAGCCACGGCUAACUACGUGCCAGCAGCCGCGGUAAUACGUAGGUGGCAAGCGUUGUCCGGAUUUAUUGGGCGUAAAGCGAGCGCAGGCGGUUUCUUAAGUCUGAUGUGAAAGCCCCCGGCUCAACCGGGGAGGGUCAUUGGAAACUGGGAGACUUGAGUGCAGAAGAGGAGAGUGGAAUUCCAUGUGUAGCGGUGAAAUGCGUAGAUAUAUGGAGGAACACCAGUGGCGAAGGCGGCUCUCUGGUCUGUAACUGACGCUGAGGCUCGAAAGCGUGGGGAGCAAACAGGAUUAGA
rnacentral:rRNA from 1 species